rnacentral:rRNA from 1 species
ACGAACGCUGGCGGCGUGCUUCACACAUGCAAGUCGAACGGAAAGGCCUGCUUUCCCUUGUGGAUUGCGGGUGCUCGAGUGGCGAACGGGUGAGUAACACGUGAGUGAUCUGCCCCCAACUUGGGUAUAAGCCUGGGAAACUGGGUCUAAUUCCCGAUAGGACUGCAGGGUGGUGCCUGUGGUGGAAAACGAUUUUCUAGUGGUUGGGGAUGAGCUCGCGGCCUAUCAGCUUGUUGGUGGGGUAAUGGCCUACCAAGGCGGCGACGGGUAGCCGGCCUGAGAGGGUGGACGGCCACAUUGGGACUGAGAUACGGCCCAGACUCCUACGGGAGGCAGCAGUGGGGAAUAUUGCACAAUGGGCGGAAGCCUGAUGCAGCGACGCCGCGUGGGGGAUGACGGCCUUCGGGUUGUAAACUCCUUUCGACCGCGAGGAAGCCACCUGGUUGGAAGGGUGGUGACGGUAGUGGUAGAAGAAGCACCGGCUAACUACGU